UGAGCGUUUAGGAAGUGACAGUUGAACUUCCCUUUUUAUCAACUCUUUUGCCUUUAGCGAUGGAAAGAAAAGGCUAGUGAGUAAGUAAAAGGAUUCUGGUCUCAAUUUCAGCCUUUACAUUCUGGAUAACUUUCUCUCACUGGUUCAGGCCUCAUCUAUUUGGCUCAGCUGGCUGCCCAGUGAGCUUCAGGAAUCUGCCUGUCUCUGCCGCUUUAGCACUGGGAUUAUAAACACACACCACAAGAUCUGGUGCUGUUUUAGCUCUGCCCACAUGGUCAUGGCUGUGCUUGUGGAGAUUCCCUGCAGCUCCCUGGGGAUCGUGGGAGCUCAUUGCUCAGGUCUGGGACUCACCCACAACGAGGCAGAAGAGGGAGAAGAGCCGCAAGAAGUGUCUGUUCAUUUGGACCCGGAUGUCUUGUGCGGAGCAAAGCUGUGAAGGGCUGUAAGCAGAGCUGUGCUGGGCUCCAGAGAGAGGCCUUCUCCAGCAGGAGUUGGUGAUUAUUCAUGCCUAAGGGGAGCCAGUCACACAAGGUUUAUUUUGAGAGCUCAAGUUCAUUGGCUGUGGUCUCCAUAGUCUUGAGACCUGGAGCCUGAAGUUGACCAGGUAGUUUUAAGGUAAAAGACCCUGAAAUGUGAACAAUUUCUUCACUAAAUGCUAGAAAUGUUUUUGAGCCUGUGAACAGCUUUGCACUUGCUGGAGACUCAGGGUGCCCGAAGGCUUUAAGCCAAAAUGUCUCUGAUUCUGUCAGGGGCAGAAGCCAGGGAUGGCAGAAAGGAGGGUGUAUCUAGAUUUUCCUUGUCCCUUGCCCUGCGAAGGAGUACCCCUUCCCUGGACACCAUACUGAGUACAUGACUGAAACUCAGAGGCACUUGGAUACCUGAAUGGAAACUGCAUUGACCAGCUAACUCCUACCCCUAUCCCUCCAUCCAGGAAAACCUUGUUAUACCCAGGGCAGUGAGGCUCAUGGUAUCCCUCUCUAGGACACCUCUCCUGCCUUACAGGAACUCUGUCUUUUUCUUUUCUGUAAUAAAAAAACCUCUGUAAAAUUCA